UUUGAACACGCCUCAAAUCAGCUCUAUGGAACACCAUUACCAGCUAACAAUUGUUUGAAAUUGCUAACUAUUUAUUUGUAGCUGACAGUGUAAAAGUGCUCCUCUUUCUCCAGAUGAACAGAACCUGCAGAACUUACCAGUGAUUCACAUUAACAGGAGACCAUCAUCACCACCAUGGCAAUGUUGACCAUAUCUCUGCUGCUCUGUGCUGCCGUUGCUCUGAAUGGAGCAACAGGUGCUGAUGCCCUACCCGUGGCCCUACCCGAGGCCCUACCCGAGGCCCUACCCGUGGCCCUAUCCGAGGCCCUACCCGUGGCCCUAUCCGAGGCCCUACCCGUGGCCCUACCGACAUCCCAGAAAGCACAGUCAAAGUUCCAUAUGUUCAGCAAGUAAAGCAUCUUAACGCGCAAUUACAGCUGCAAGCUCCUUGUAGUUGCCCUUGUGUCAUGUCCUCUAGUAGCCAAUUCUGGCCUGACCCAAAAUGAAGUGGUGUUAAUAUGCUGCUUGACAACAUCCCUGUUUCUUCUUACUUUCCCAUUGUGUUGCGAGGUUUGAAUACGCAGACCUUCGUCAUGAUUGAUUCAGCUUUUUCCCAACUUAGAUCUGAUGUGGGCAUUUAUAUGCUCCAUGAUUUUGUUUUGGCAUUUAGCUGAACGAUCAAUGUACUUCAGGUCACUGUACCCCCCUUUCGCCCAAGUUUCAGACUUUCCAAAAAGCAGGCAAGUCCUGCAAUGCAAGGCUCCCUGUUAACCAGCUAUACAUUUAAUACCAGUUGGUUGAAAUAAAUUGCACUAACUGGACACAAAAAUAAAGUUCUAAAACCAAGAAAACAAUUUAUAAUCUAUCUCUUCCAUCUCAUGUAUUCGGCACAACCCGAAUACAACACACUAGGUUCAUUCUCUAAUUCUAAUCCUAUGAUUGGAUGAACCUCAUGUCUGUUCAUACUGCCAAAGCUUUGACUGGAUGGAGGUCGUCCUCCGGAAGUGGUCAUAAUUACCAUGUAUAUCUAUUGAAGGGGUUGAGGCCUACGAGCCUCCUAGGUUUUGUAUUGAAGUCAAUGUACCCAGAGGAGGACA